rnacentral:rRNA from 1 species
AAACCAGCACCUCAAGUGGUCAGGAUGAUUAUUGGGCCUAAAGCAUCCGUAGCCUGCUCUGUAAGUUUUCGGUUAAAUCUGUAUGCUCAACAUACAGGCUGCCGGGAAUACUGCAGAGCUAGGGAGUGGGAGAGGUAGACGGUACUCGGGAGGAAGUGGUAAAAUGCUUUGAUCUCUCGAUGACCACCUGUGGCGAAGGCGGUCUACCAGAACACGUCCGACGGUGAGGGAUGAAAGCUGGGGGAGCAAACCGGAUUAGAUACCCGAGUAGUCC